UUAAAAUGAACGUUUAAAAAUAAAUGUAUUUGAAACCUAUUCCAAAGUUGCCAAUAGGUAGGGAUUUGGUACUGUUUGACACAUACGAAAGGGAACUCUUGGCCAACGUUUAUAAACGUUGUCACUAGGUUUCAAAAUGAACUUUUGCUUGCACUCCCAUUGCCAUAGAAACGCACAUUUCCAUCAAUUUGUUUGCGGAAUGCCGAAACGCGCGACCGCUUGCAGAUAAGACGCUCUUUUCUAACUGUCACUUAAGUUAAUUCACUGCAGUAACGUUGUCGUGUCACUUGUUAACCAGCCAGCUGACCAGCCGUAACGUUACCCCCUUGCCUUGUGUUCUUCGGAUCAUCAUUCUCCUUUUGCCAAUUACAGCCUGCCAACCAGCCAGUCAACGAACCAGCUGUAGCCCUUGGUAACUUACUCUUAGGAUUCCUGUGCUACUGGCCAUCAACAUGCAUCUGUGUCAUCCUCACACAACAACUGAUGCCGCUUUGCAAAAAAAGCAGAAAAAACCUCCAAUGUGGAAAGCACUAGUGAAAUGGAGGCACGACCACACACCAUCCCAGCUCGAUACCAAACUGGUUGUUAUGAUGACAGCAGCACAACUGAUAUAGAUGAGUUCUUUAUGGAACCCUGCUUUCCAGUGAAAACUUUACGUUUACCUCUACCGCCCAGAUAUUAGGACACAAAUUAAGAUAUCCCGCAAAAAGGAAAGGUCUCCAAAGUGUCCAGUGCACCACAAACUGUGUCAUGCAGCCUACCAGCCAAAACAACAACUGGCGUAGUAGCGCCACCUGCAGCAUCCAGUAAGAAUUUUGCAUCUCUGUUAUAGUACAUAGUCAACCUCCCUUAGUAGUGCCCAACAGUAUCAACAUUUACAUUACAUUUUAGUCAUUUAGCAGACGCUCUUAUCCAGAGCGACUUACAUUAUCUUUUUUUUUUUUUUUUUUUCAUACUGGCCCCCCGUGGGAAUUGAACCCACAUCAACACAUCCCUCUCUAUUUUUCCCCUCAACCAAAACUGUUGUGUUUUUCUGAAAUGUCACAAUGCACUGUUAAGAAUGAAUUAAUUGCUUUACGCUGAACCUCCUAUCCAUUCUCAUAGAUAUCCAACAAAAGGAAUCUGCAUCCACAAGUGCUGUGCAGUCUCAGGAGAUAAUUGCAAUGAUGUCUUGUUAGUACUGUAAAUGUUCAUCUGUGAUUUAACAGUGCUUUGGUCAAAAUAGCAACUCCCCUUUAAUCCUUUCUGCUAAAACAGCUUGUCUAGGACCCAAUUAUGUGUCUCCGUUCUAAUCAAUGAUGUUGUCUUGUUAAGCCUUCCAGACAAAGGUACUGAUGAAGCUAGACAUUAUAAUUGAGAACCAGUAAGAGCAACUGAGGCUCCUUAAUGCUACAAGGCCAUCGACCACAGCUGAGAACCUCGACAUUCUGCCAUCACCGUUAGACUCUGUGGCUGACCUGAAGCUACUGUAGGCCUGCAGCAGAUGCCACAAAGAGGCCAAAAUCACUGAGUGUGAGACCGAAAUCGGUGAAUGCCUGAAGCAUGCACCAUUUAAGGAGGGGGGCAACAAAUACAGAUCAAAGUUAGGACAGGUGCCGUUCCACAUCAGAUAUUUUGUGUUAAUUAACAGUACACAACAGUAGCACAAGUGUUUUACUUACAUGAACAUGUUGUUCUUCAUUGUAAUUUCUCUGAAUAAUUCAUUUGUAUGAUCGACUUCGUCGUAGCUCGCUAACACAACAGCUGGAUGUUUAGCCUAGUCUAGCUAAAUACCGUUGUUUACUUCACCACUAUCCCAAAAUGCUAGGUAACUUUCUGCUUCUGUAACGUUACUUGUCAAAAUUGACACAUCUGUCUCCAGAAAAGAAGAGAGUCGCAGAUAAACAGAAAGAGCUCUGUGUGCCCAAAUGGUGUGAGAGAGCACGAGCUGACUGUGCCCCUCAAAUAAAUGUUACUAGUCCAAUGAUGAGAUCUAACACUGUUUCAGACCACAGCACCUGAAAUAAUGGAGAGAGACGGAAGCUUCAGCACGAGCCCAAGAGACAGAAGGAGCACAAGCACGGAGUCGACCCUAAUGUUUUUUGACUAAAGAGGACAUUUUGUAACUCAAGUGAUUUUAUUAAAUGUGUCCAGUGGUAAAAAAAAUAAAAAAGGGAAAUACUAGGGAAA